rnacentral:rRNA from 1 species
GACAGAGGGGGCAAGCGUUGCUCGGAAUCACUGGGCGUAAAGGGCGCGUAGGCGGCUUGGCAAGUGGAUGGUGAAAUCCCUCGGCUUAACCGAGGAACUGCCGUCCAAACUGCUUUGCUUGAGGCCGGGAGAGGUGAGUGGAAUUCCCAGUGUAGCGGUGAAAUGCGUAGAUAUUGGGAGGAACACCAGUGGCGAAGGCGGCUCACUGGACCGGUACUGACGCUGAUGCGCGAAAGCGUGGGGAGCAAACGGG